GCCUCGGGGGUGUAGCGGUAGCACGUGCUCCCGGUACGGGUGAAACGCGGGUACAACUCCUGUCUGAGUCG